GCCGUCGUAGCACAAUGGUAGUGCGUUGCUUUCCUAAAUCACAUGACUUUACGAGGCAGAGGUUGUGGGUUCGAUCCCCACCGUCGGUU
rnacentral:tRNA from 1 species